rnacentral:lncRNA from 1 species
AGUUUUGGCAGAAGGUGGACUAGUUGAAGAAGAAGAAGAAGGUUUUAGAUUUUCAUGUGAUACAUUUUGCUCCUCUUUUUUACCUUCCUUAUUGUUUCCCUUCCCAAUCUUAUUGUCUACUACACGUCCACUCCUUAGGGUAGUCAAAGCAUUGGCUUGUUCAUGAUGAAUUGUAUUUAAUUGAUUUUCUUGAGCCAUGUAUUGUCCCCUAGGAUUACUCACUGGUUGGCUCGGAAGCUUGCCUUCCUCUCGCUUGUUUAAUGCAUUAGCUAGUUGCCCCAUUUGGGAUUCUAGCUUGGCGAUGGAUUGCAUGUGAGAGUGCACCAAUUGUGUAAUGGUUUCCAAACCUUGAAGAGCGGUCAACACUUUCUCCUCAAAGGCUGUGUUUCUAUGGGGUGGAGGAGGAGUGUGUUGAAAUUGAGUCGAAGGACGGUAGGGAUGAAUAUUUUGUGGG